rnacentral:rRNA from 1 species
AAGCAGGGGAUAACACUUGGAAACAGGUGCUAAUACCGUAUAACAACAAAAUCCGCAUGGAUUUUGUUUGAAAGGUGGCUUCGGCUAUCACUUCUGGAUGAUCCCGCGGCGUAUUAGUUAGUUGGUGAGGUAAAGGCCCACCAAGACGAUGAUACGUAGCCGACCUGAGAGGGUAAUCGGCCACAUUGGGACUGAGACACGGCCCAAACUCCUACGGGAGGCAGCAGUAGGGAAUCUUCCACAAUGGACGAAAGUCUGAUGGAGCAAUGCCGCGUGAGUGAAGAAGGGUUUCGGCUCGUAAAACUCUGUUGUUAAAGAAGAACACCUUUGAGAGUAACUGUUCAAGGGUUGACGGUAUUUAACCAGAAAGCCACGGCUAACUACGUGCCAGCAGCCGCGGUAAUACGUAGGUGGCAAGCGUUGUCCGGAUUUAUUGGGCGUAAAGCGAGCGCAGGCGGUUUUUUAAGUCUGAUGUGAAAGCCUUCGGCUUAACCGGAGAAGUGCAUCGGAAACUGGGAGACUUGAGUGCAGAAGAGGACAGUGGAACUCCAUGUGUAGCGGUGGAAUGCGUAGAUAUAUGGAAGAACACCAGUGGCGAAGGCGGCUGUCUAGUCUGUAACUGACGCUGAGGCUCGAAAGCAUGGGUAGCGAACAGGAUUAGAUACCCUGGUAGUCCAUGCCGUAAACGAUGAGUGCUAAGUGUUGGAGGGUUUCCGCCCUUCAGUGCUGCAGCUAACGCAUUAAGCACUCCGCCUGGGGAGUACGACCGCAAGGUUGAAACUCAAAGGAAUUGACGGGGGCCCGCACAAGCGGUGGAGCAUGUGGUUUAAUUCGAAGCUACGCGAAGAACC